AUUGAACGCUGGCGGCAGGCUUAACACAUGCAAGUCGAGCGGGGGAAGGUAGCUUGCUACCGGACCUAGCGGCGGACGGGUGAGUAAUGCUUAGGAAUCUGCCUAUUAGUGGGGGACAACAUCUCGAAAGGGAUGCUAAUACCGCAUACGUCCUACGGGAGAAAGCAGGGGAUCUUCGGACCUUGCGCUAAUAGAUGAGCCUAAGUCGGAUUAGCUAGUUGGUGGGGUAAAGGCCUACCAAGGCGACGAUCUGUAGCGGGGCUGAGAGGAUGAUCCGCCAGACUGGGACUGAGACACGGCCCAGACUCCUACGGGAGGCAGCAGUGGGGAAUAUUGGACAAUGGGGGGAACCCUGAUCCAGCCAUGCCGCGUGUGUGAAGAAGGCCUUAUGGUUGUAAAGCACUUUAAGCGAGGAGGAGGCUACUUUAGUUAAUACCUAGAGAUAGUGGACGUUACUCGCAGAAUAAGCACCGGCUAACUCUGUGCCAGCCGCCGCAGUAA
rnacentral:rRNA from 1 species